rnacentral:ribozyme from 14 species
AUAGAUAAAAACAGACAACGCUACCCAUACCAAUAUUUCUCUUGUUUUUGUUUAGUUUUUUUAUUCUUUCUUGCUUUAUUCAUUCAAU